rnacentral:tmRNA from 1 species
GGGGCCGUAAAGGUUUCGACAGGGAUUAUGAACCGUCGGAAGCGGGCAGCGGUGCGGAACCGCUUUAAAAUCCGCAAUUUAAAAUUAACUGACAACAAUUCAGUUGCACUUGCAGCUUAAUUAAGCUGCCGUCUUUUCCGAAAGUACCGCGGUUCGGAACGGGCGUCACUUAGCGGUGAACGUGAAUUAUCUUUCGCCGAGGGGAUGAUCACGGCUUAUUCGGCUACCGAAAUUAAAAGUUCGUUGCUUAACUUUUAGCGUAGGAAAUUUUUAAGAAGCAUCUGCGCCCGGAGAUGCCGACGGGAAUUGAUUUUUGGACGGGAGUUCGACUCUCCCCGGCUCCACCA